rfam:Phasey bean mild yellows virus isolate ESPCL15, complete genome
UACACUAGCCAAGCAAACACGAGUUGCAAGCAUUGGAAGUAAAAGUCUCGUUACAA